GUAGGUGAACCUGCGGAAGGAUCAUUCAUAAUAAGUGUUUUAUGGCACUUUUUUAAAUCCAUAUCCACCUUGUGUGCAAUGUCAGGGUUGGUCUCUUGAAAAAGAGAUCAGCCCCAAACAUCAACCCAAUCUUAACUCUUUGUCUGGAAAAUAUUAUGAAUAAAACAAUUCAAAAUACAACUUUCAACAACGGAUCUCUUGGCUCUC
rnacentral:misc_RNA from 1 species